UCUCUCUUCUAGGUAUAUAUUCUCAAUAACUCUGCAAUGUGUUGAAGAAGCAUCAGAUGCCACUCCAUCUCUUUGCCCCUGUUUGUAAAAGAAUAUUUCAAAACCAACCACCAUCAGAAAAGGACAAGCUACCAUAUCAAGCGAAUGUGGCCAUUUCAACCGCACCAGUAAAUAGGUAAUAAAUCACAAAGAAGUGGCUGCAAGACCUUCCAUAUUCACCAAAAAAACGAGGGUCCUAAACAAAUUAAUUAAGUCGCUUGAGAAGUCAGCACCCCCAUCACUUAAAAGGCAAGUCUUCUCCCAAAUCUCUCUUGCUGUCUCUUUUUGGC